CGCUCUGGUUUGCUUUCAGGAGCUUUUGUUCCCUGAGCGCUUUCCAUAGAGUUCCAGAGGAUGGGAAUACAAAUGGCGGCCUCCUGCUCUCCAGCCCGGAGGAGCCGAGAGCCCGGGCCCCACUCCUCGGUGCGCCCUCAGAGAACAGUGCCCAGUUACUCCCGUCUGCCUGACCUCCAGCCGUGCUCCAAACUCACCGAGCCUGUGGCCGGGAGAAGCAGACUCUGCUGAGCAGGGAGCCUGAUGUGGGGCUGGAUCCCAGGACUCCAGGAUCAUGACCUGAGCCGAAGGCAAAUAGAUGUUUAACUGACUGAGCCACCCAGAGGCCCCCAUACGUGAAAUCUUAUCAUGGUGUUAAUGAUGAAAAAAGAGCUAUUAAAAUCCAUUUUUAAAAAUG